rnacentral:rRNA from 1 species
GAGUCACUCCUACGGGAGGCAGCAGUCGGGAAUUUUGGGCAAUGGGCGCAAGCCUGACGACGCAACGCCGCGUGGAGGACGAAGAUCUUCGGGUCGUAAACUCCUUUCGAUCGAGACGAACGGCUUCCGGGUGAACAAUCCGGGAGAGUGACGGUACCGAGAGAAGAAGCCCCGGCUAACUCCGUGCCAGCAGCCGCGGUAAUACGGGGGGGGCAAGCGUUGUUCGGAAUUACUGGGCGUAAAGGGCUCGUAGGCGGCCAACUAAGUCCGACGUGAAAUCCCCAGGCUUAACCUGGGAACUGCGUCCGAUACUGGAAGGCUUGAAUCCGGGAGAGGGAUGCGGAAUUCCAGGUGUAGCGGUGAAAUGCGUAGAUAUCUGGAGGAACACCGGUGGCGAAGGCGGCAUCCUGGACCGGCAUUGACGCUGAGGCGCGAAAGCCAGGGGAGCAAACGGGAUUAGAUACCCCGGUAGUCCUGGCCCUAAACGAUGAAUGCUUGGUGUGGCGGGUAUCGAUCCCUGCCGUGCCGAAGCUAACGCAUUAAGCAUUCCGCCUGGGGAGUACGGUCGCAAGGCUGAAACUUAAAGGAAUUGACG